GAUGAACGCUGGCUGUGUGCCUAAUACAUGCAUGUCGAGCGAAGCACUUUUGUGCUUAGCGGCGAAUGGGUGAGUAACACGUACUUAACCUACCCUCAAGAUUGGGACAACACUUGGAAACGAGUGCUAAUACCAAAUACGUAUUUUUAUCGCAUGAUAGAUAUAUAAAAGGAGCUUCGGCUUCACUAGAGGAUGGGAGUGCGCUACAUUAGUUAGUUGGUAGGGUAAUGGCCUACCAAGACUAUGAUGUAUAGCGGGGCCGAGGGGCUGAUCCGCCACACUGGGACUGAGAUACGGCCCAGACUCCUACGGGAGGCAGCAGUAGGGAAUUUUCCACAAUGAACGAAAGUUUGAUGGAGCGACACAGCGUGCAGGAUGAAGGUCUUCGGAUUGUAAACUGCUGUUAUAAGAGAAGAAAAACCCUGGUAGGUAAUGACCAGGACUUGACGGUACCUUAUCAGAAAGCGACGGCUAACUAUGUGCCAGCAGCCGCGGUAAUACAUAGGUCGCAAGCGUUAUCCGGAAUUAUUGGGCGUAAAGAGUUCGUAGGUGGUUUUGUAAGUCUGAAGUUAAAUACCGGGGCUCAACCCCGGCCCGCUUUGGAUACUGCAAAACUAGAGUAAUAGAGAGGUUAGUGGAACUCCAAGUGAAGCGGUGGAAUGCGUAGAUAUUUGGAAGAACACCAAUGGCGAAGGCAACUAACUGGAUAUUAACUGACACUGAGGAACGAAAGCGUGGGUAGCAAACAGG
rnacentral:rRNA from 1 species